AGUGUAAUUUAUUUUCAUUUUAUUUUGUGUAAUCCAGUGAUGAUUUUUUAUUGUAAUUGUAGCUCUUUGAAAAGGCACAAGCCUAAUGUUGAUGUCAUAUAUGACAGAAGACCUUCCAUGGCUAGCUUCAAUUUUGAUUGCGAAUCAAAGGAUGCUCGUCCUGUUACCAAGGCGGAUCAGAAUAUCGGUUCAGCUGAUGUUGAUUUUGAAUUUCACCCAACUAGAAACAACCUUUCACCUAUUGUUCCAGUGAGGCUAUCCCAGCGUUUUAUAGAUGAGGUCGACCAAGUUCAGUGUUCGCAAUAUGUGUCUGAAAGGCUUCUUAACUCUCAUGUGUCUCCUUUUGAACAGCUGGUCGGUCUUGAUGAAGUUCAAGUAGUUGGCACCUCCACAUUUUCUGACCGUUGUGUUAAUUUCGCAAAGAAGACGAAUGAAGCUUAUAACCGGCUGAACAAUUUAGCAUCAUCUUCUUCCGUUAGACCGGGUGUUUCAAACAGUCCUGAAGUCCUUAUCAUCUCUGAUCCUGAAGGUGUUGCAGAAUUAAAUGCUGCUCAAAAGCGCAAUGAGCUCGCUAUUUCCAAAUUUUCUAAUUGUUCAACAGCGACGACCCAGCACGUUCCUCGUAGGAUUGUCGGAGCUGCUAGGUUCAACUCAGAUCCUUAUGUUCAGCAGUUGAAUCGUUUUCCUGUUACUUUGCAAGAAAGGAAGCAUUAUUUUGCAAUGAAUCGCAUUGGCAGCGACAAAGUUUGGUGCAAAUAUGAAGCUAUUAGAUAUGAUAGAGCGUUCUGCUCGUAUCGCUCUCUUUCAUCCCUAUGCCCAGGUGGUCAUCUAGAUAACUUCCUCAUUCUGUGUUUUUGUCGAUUCCUUUUCAACAAGUGUCAUCCUUCAAAAUCAAAGAAACAUUUCUUCUUCAGUUAUAUUGGGGAGUGCAUUCUGAAUAACAACAAUCCAUUGACCCGUAAUCCAAAUAUUGUCCGAAAUGCUUUUGAGGGUGCUUGCAGCGCGUUUGUUUUGUGGAGAUCAGACUUUUUGUACUUCCCUAUUGGUCACGAUGAGCAUUGGUUCUCAUUUGUCGUCUGUAUCAAAGAUAGAGCUUUUGUGUUUCUCGAUUCGGCUUAUGGAGAGAACUCAUCAUACCACAGAGAUAUCCGUAAUGAGCUGUGUAAUUCUCAAAGGAUUUUUGCACUCAUU
rnacentral:rRNA from 1 species